CCGGAGUGGACGCAUCACUGGUGUUCGGGUUGUCAUGCCAAUGGCACUGCCCGGUAGCUAAAUGCGGAAGAGAUAAGUGCUGAAAGCAUCUAAGCACGAAACUUGCCCCGAGAUGAGUUCUCCCUGAGACUUUAAGUCUCCUGAAGGAACGUUGAAGACGACGACGUUGAUAGGUCGGGUGUGUAAGCGCAGCGAUGCGUUGAGCUAACCGAUACUAAUGAACCGUGAGGCUUAACCUU
rnacentral:rRNA from 1 species